rnacentral:rRNA from 1 species
UACGUAGGGUGCAAGCGUUAAUCGGAAUUACUGGGCGUAAAGCGUGCGCAGGCGGUUAUGUAAGACAGAUGUGAAAUCCCCGGGCUCAACCUGGGAACUGCAUUUGUGACUGCAUAGCUUGAGUGCGGCAGAGGGGGAUGGAAUUCCGCGUGUAGCAGUGAAAUGCGUAGAUAUGCGGAGGAACACCGAUGGCGAAGGCAAUCCCCUGGGCCUGCACUGACGCUCAUGCACGAAAGUGUGGGGAGCAAACAGG